UCCACAAAGGUGGAAAAUUACUUCCUCUGAUAAACCUACAAAAGACCUGACCAACCUGACUAAAGAUACCUGUCAGGUGUCAGUCCUAACUGCAAGAUGUCGUCAUAUUUGACAAAGUUGUGGUGGCAGAAGCCUCUACAGCAUUAUCCAGGAAAAAAGGACACUUAUUUCCCAGGCACAAAUCACUCCACACCCAAACUACACUAUAUUCUGAGUAACAUAGAACAGGUACAACAGGCUGAAAAUUAUUCCAGGAAACCACUUGGAACCAAAAAGACCAUCUCAUUAAAAAGAAAAUGAAAACCACACAAGCACCCCACAACCCACGAGCAAGGAUUAAACCCAGAAGACCAGAUGAUCUUCCAGACACCUUCAACAUAUCGACAAGAAAAUUCUUACCAACACCUGAAUAAUAAAGUAACACUUGCAGCAGUUCAGACUUUUGUAUUAGUUCGAAUAUCAAGUUCCAGUAAGGUAAUUCAUGGCAGUUGUUUAAGGUUAGAAACUUUUUUUUCCUGAGCAAAAGAUAGUCAGAAUUUCUGAAAACUACCAGGACAGGUUUUAUCACUUGAACUCUGGUCUGCUGUAAGUAAUCAUAUAAAGCUGUAAAAAUACAAGAAUCCUUUCUCCAACCACAAUGCUGUGCCUCAUGCUAUAAAAAUAGAGCAGGCAUGCAAUUUCUUUAUUCCAAUAAAGCUACAGGGCAAUUUUCCUGAAGAAGAAUAAUGAAUUUGGAAUCCUAUUACAAAGACUUCCAAUUAAAAAUCAUCAAUUAAAGGAAGACAGCCUCAAGCACCAGGUCUCAGAAACUGCUUGUCACAGACAAUUGUUUCAGCUCUAAUGAAAGCAAUUAGUAACUGAAGUUUUCAGACUACUACUUUUGCGUACAAAAAGACUGUUGCAAAGAUUUUGAGGCACCUACUUUAAAUCACAGAAGCGGUACAGUAUUCUAUUGACAUUUUGAAGUCAGAGUUUAUUAGGGUAAUUAAUUGUCUAUGGUUACUACUUCUUGUGGACAAUGAACAUUAUUCUGUGACAAAAAACCCCCCAAACUUCAAGUUACAUUAAUCAGAACGGCUAACAGAAAUAAAGAUCUAGGCAAGUUGGUACAAACAUGAAGAAAAUACGAGCUUCAGGAUAAAAAUCUCACAAUUGGCUAGCCUCAAGGGAAAACUUCCUACAUCAAGAUAGAGGCCAUCAUCAAGUUGUGUUGGCUGUGCAGCCAUUUUAAUAUGGUCAAGGACUUUGAUUUAAAGUUGCACACAUUCUUAGAUUUGGUUCAAGCUGCUGUUAUGUUAGCACAAGAAAGCAUUUCACAGUAGCUCAACAUUUGCAACCCAAAAUAUGUAGCAGCAUUAGCAAAUGCGAGUUUCUAAAGAAAAUCUACAAUGUAUGAAGAGCUGAGGUUCAGAAGUGCGAUGAUGUUGUUAUAACUGCCUCAGAAACUUGUAUUUUACUAUUUGCCAAAAGUCAGGUUUUCUUAACAAAAAGAACGGAAAAGCAAUUUCAGUCUAGAGACAUGACAUAUUUAGACAGUUCUACUCCAUUCCAUAAAAACUGGAAAAGUAUACCUCCAUUUUUAACUACUGCUUUUUAAAAUGUUUUUCAUAUACAUUUUGGA